AGUAACACGUGGAUAGCCUACCUAUAAGACUGGGAUAACUUCGGGAAACCGGAGCUAAUACCAGAUAACAUGUUGAACCGCAUGGUUCAACAGUGAAAGACGGUCUUGCUGUCACUUAUAGAUGGAUCCGCGCCGCAUUAGCUAGUUGGUAAGGUAACGGCCUACCAAGGCAACGAUGCGUAGCCGACCUGAGAGGGUGAUCGGCCACACUGGAACUGGGACACGGUCCAG
rnacentral:rRNA from 1 species